rnacentral:rRNA from 1 species
AUUCCCUUAGUAAUGGCGAAUGAAACGGGAAGAGCCCAUCGUCGAAUCGCAAGUCAUCCAGGCUUUGCGAAAUGUGACGUUUGGGAGGGUCUUCCACGGCUCGGACGAUCAGUCAAAGUCCAACUUGACAGUGGCCACAGCCCAUAGAGGGUGAUAGGCCCGUAAGGCGGUUGUCCGGCUGUGCUGACCUCUCUCUAGAGUCGGAUUGCUUGGGAGUGCAGUCCAAAGUGCGAGGUAAACUCCUCGUAAGGCUAAAUAUAACCCCGAGACCGAUAGCAAACAAGUACAGUGAUGGAAAAUUGAAAAGAACUUUGAAGAGAGAGUUAAGAGUACGUGAAACUGUGUGGUGGUAAACGGAGGCGUUCUCGAAGUGUCCGUGGGGGACUCAAGCUUGGUGGCGGGCAGCCGGUGCGCUCUGAUCAGCAAUGACUGGGCGCGCCGUGUCGGCUCGUCUCCCGGCCGCACUUUCCCCGCGGUUUACGGCAGGAACUGUUGGGACCGGACCAAAGGCCUGGGAUGAAGUUGUCGGCCCGCUCGCGGGCUUGCAGCUCCCGGUGUCCUGGCUUCGGGCCCGACGGGACUCGAGUGGACUUGUAUAGCAAGCGACAGCCUGUUGCGGUUCACGUCUCUCUGCCGAGUANGUCGGUGGCGCCUCCGACCCGUCUUGAAACACGGACCAAGGAGUCUAACAUGUAUGCGAGCCAUUGGGUUGACUAAACCUANCGGC